rnacentral:rRNA from 1 species
AUUGAACGCUGGCGGCAGGCCUAACACAUGCAAGUCGAGCGGAGCGCGGGACGCGUGAGUGUGGCUUAGGCAUCUGCCUGUGAGUGGGGGAUAACGUUCGGUAACGGGAGGUAAUGCCACAUACUCGCAGUUGAGCCUCGGUCGGAUUAGCUAGUUGGUGGGGUAAAGGCCUACCAAGGCGAAGAUGCGUAACUGGUCUGAGAGGAUGAUCAGGCACACUGGGACUGAGACACGGUCCAGACUCCUACGGGAGGCAGCAGUGGGGAAUAUUGGACAAUGGGCGAAAGCCUGAUCCAGCCAUGCCGCGUGUGUGAAGAAGGUCUUCGGAUUGUAAAGCACUUUUAGUAGGGAAGCGGUACCAACAGAAUAAGCACCGGCUAACUACGUGCCAGCAGCCGCGGUAAUUC